rnacentral:lncRNA from 1 species
AAAUGGAUGGACAAACGAAUGGACAAAUGGAUGGACAAAUGGAUGGACAAACGGAUGGACAAAUGGAUGGACAAACGGAUGUACAAACGAACGACCAGACCAGUAACCAACCGAAUGAUAAUGUCAAAUAUAACGAUAAAAAAUGUGGUAAAGAAAAUGAACAUAAUAAUAUGUGUAAUGUUACUACAAAUAAAGAAAGGAUAAUUUUUAACAUAAAAGAGAAAACUGAUAGAAGUGUGUUAUCAUGUGAUAUGAAUGAAAAAAGCGAUGGAUCUUUUAAUAAUUAUGAAAGUUAUAUUAACAUGGGGAAUAAUAUUUAUUAUAAUAAAAUGAAUAUACCUAAUUUUACGCUUGGUUUAGAUAUAACAUCCGAACAAUGCAACAAUAGUAAUAAAAAAUUAAAUACAAAUAACGUAGGAGACAUAUUUAAAGCUGGUGAUGUAUACAGUAUACACAGUAGUAACAAUAGUAACGAUAGUAAUGAUAAUAAUAAUUUGUACCAUAUGAGCAAAGAAUUAAAAAUUCAUGAUAGUUUUGUUGAUAGUUUUGGUGGUAUUUUUUGUAACAAUUCUGUUAAUAACACUGGUAAUAAUUUUGUUUUUCCAAAUACAAUACAAAAAAACGAAAUAUUUAUUGAAGAUCGUUAUAAAAAUAUUCCAGAAAAAAACAACAACCUAAAUAAUAUUUCACUUUUUAAUAUAAUAAAUAAUUUUAAAAAUAAUAUAGAAAAAAAUAAAAAUACUAUAUUUCAUUCGGUUAGUAGAGAAGGUUUAAUGUUUAUUUUAAAUAUACAGGAAAUUUUUAUUAAUAAAACAAAACAAUUAUUAUGUGGUAAAUGUAAAAAAGAAACACCUAAUAUUGAUAAUGUUAAUAAUUUAUUUAAGAAUAUAUUAAAAUUAAAAAUAGAAAAACAAACAUAUGAAAUUUAUAUGAUAAAUAUAUUACAAAAUUUAAAAAAUGAGUUUAUAAAAAUGAACAGUAAUAUGAGAAAAAAACUAGAAGAAAAUACAUCUAUAAUAAAUAGUUUAAAUAAAGAUAAAAAUUUGCUUAACGAUAAUAUCAAAGAAUUAAGAGAAAAAAUACAAAAAAUAAAAAAUGAACAUAAUAUAAAAUUACUUACUAUUAAAAUUAUUAUACAUAAUAAAUUUUUAACUCUUUUUGAUUAUAUACAUCAAUUAUUUCUGAAUUACACAACAUUAUUAUAUGAAAAAAAUGAAAAAAUAAGGUCAAUUAUAGGCACAUUAAAACAUGCGCAACUAUACAAUAAAAGAGAGAUACUUGAUAGAAAAGGGAUACGUGAUGGAAAAGAGAUACGUAAUGAAGAAGAGAUAUGUGACAAAAACAAAAUACAUAAUAAAAAAAAAAAACAAGGAAAAAGUGAUAAUGAUGAUGUAAAUAAAAUCAAAAACGAAACGAAAAAAUUGAAAAAGGACAUAAAAGGUAACACAGUUGAUAGAAGAGGUGAAGUAUGUAGUGACAGUAAUUACAAAAAAAUAAAAAAAGUUGGAAAGACGAAAAAAAAGGAAAAAAAAACAAAAAAACGAAUGAAUAAUAAAAAAAGCUCAAAUUCUUCAUCUCUUUCAUUUGGUUCUUCUUAUUCUUCAUUUAAUAAUUCUUCUGAUCUAAUAAUAUCAUUUCCCGAUGAUAAAAAAAAUAAAAAUAAUGAACACUUAGUUAUUGAAAAUUCGGGUAAAAGCAUUUUAAAUAAUACAUGUUCAAAUGAUAUAUGCUCGAAUGAUACUACAAAACUUGAACGUAAAAAAGUGACAAAAAAAAAUAGUUUUAAUAGAAACAGCAGUAGUAGUACUAAUAGUAGGAAUGACAAUAAAUCGUGUCAUUCAGAUUAUAAAACAAAAAAACAUACCCAAUUGGAUAGAGAACAUAGCGAAUGUAGUGAACAUAAUUAUGGGAAAAAAAAAUACAUGAAUAUGAGUAAAAUAGAAUUGAGCAAAAAAUUAGUUUUAUAUAAAAAAAAAUAUUACGAAGAAUUGAACAAAAACAAAACAUUACACUUUUUGUUAGCUAACAAGGAUGAGGAAAUGGAACAGCUUAGGAAAAGCCACAAUGAAGAGAUAGAACACAAACAAUAUUUACACGAAGAAGAAGAAAAAAAAACAGAAAAAGAAAUACAAAACUUAAAAUUUUUAUUAGAUAAAGAAUAUAUAAAUAGCAAGGAAUUAUUUAAUAAGAAUAAAGAGCUUAAUGAUGAAAACGAUAAGUUAAAAAAAAAGUUAGAUACAUGUUUGUAUUCAGAUAAGGGUAUAAAUGUAAAAUUAUAUGAAUUAAAUAUAAUGAUGUUAAAAGAAAAAGAAAAAAAUAAUUUUUUAUUAGCAGAUAAUAUAAAAUUAAAAAAUAUAAUUUCUCAAAUAAAUGCAAAUCAAACAUUUUUUUAUAAAAAUUAUAAUGACAACAAUAAUAAUAAUAAUAAUAUUAAUAAUAUAAAGAAUAAAAAAAGGUCUAUAGAUAUAUAUAAUAAUACAAAUUAUUAUACGAAUAGAAAUUUCGAUAAAGAAAGUAAUAUACAUUUGAAUUAUGAUCAUAUGGACAGUUGUAGUUACAUUGGUAUUGAUUACCCGUUGGAAACUUAUUAUAAUAAACGUGAACAAUUAUUAUUUGAUAAAUUUAAUAAUACUAAUAAUGAUAGUGUUAGUGCCUUUAGUGAUGUUGAUAAUAAUUAUAAUGAUGGUUCCGAUUGUAUACAUAAUCGAUACGGAAAUAAUAAAAAAGGAAUAAAAAAGAAGGGGAAAAUAUAUGAUAUGCGUACUAAACAUUUUUUUAAUCAAUAUAACAAUAAAACAACAGAGCCUUGGUUAUAUAGUAGUACUUUAUAUAACGAUGAUUAUUAUGUAGGUAGUUAUACGAAAAAUGCUAUAUUUAAAAAAUAUUACAAUAAUAACCCUUACCUUAAUUUUAAAUUAAGUUCGUCGUGUUAUAGUGACAAUACAGUGGACGUAAGAACACAAGAUGAAGAAAAAAAAAAAAAAAAAAAAAAAGGUACAACAAUUUAAGUGCUGAUAGAAGUAAAAGAGAUAGAUUAUUUAAUAAGAGCAAAAGUAUACAAGAUAAUGAGUUUGAUAAUGUUAUGUUUAGAGGCGCAAACGGUGGAAAGCGAGAUGAUCAUAAUAAUGACCAGUUUAGUAAUCGGCGCAACAAGCGCUAUGUUACCCAACACGACACAAAACAUGACACAAAACAUGACACAAAACAUGACACAAAACANNNNNNNNNNACAAAACAUGACACAAAACAUGACACAAAACAUGACACAAAACAUGAUGCGAAACAUGACAGUCGACAUUACAACAAUGAUGAUAAACAAAUAAAGCAUAAAAGCUUUGAUAAUGGAAAGGUUGA